CUCACGGAAUGUCAAAGCUUGGUUGUUGGGGAGAUGGCCCACCAAGGCGACCGACGGGUAGCCGGCCUGAUAGGGCGACCGGCCACACUGGGACUGAAACACGGCCCAGACUCCUACGGGAGGCACCAGUGGGAAAUAUUGCGCAAUGGGCGAAAGCCUGACGCAUCAUCUACAAGUGAGGGACAAGGCCUUCGGGUCUU
rnacentral:rRNA from 1 species